UGUUCUUCAUUCGUCUUGCUUCGUUAUUCUUCCUUUUUUUUUGCUCUCUAUUUCUCUGUUCUUAGUUUUUAGCUCAUCAGAUGAGGCACAAUUCCAAGAAUCAACCUCAGAGAACAUGGGCUGAAUUAUGUUGUUUCGGUUGCUCGUGCCUACAGCUUUUCUGGCCGAGAGUGGUCUUGCGCAAAUUGCUCAAUAUCAGCGCCUUAGAGUCGGAUUACAGUGCCGAUACCGAAGAUGAUGAGGAUGUAAAUUCUUCCGAUUCUGAAAUCGAAGCAGAAUGUCGUUUUAGGGGAAGAGAAUCGCGCUUUAAGGUAGACAACAGAGAUGAACCACUGGUUGAUGCUAAUGAUGUGCUGCCGAGGUUGAGAAGAAGAAAUUCAGAAACAUUUAGGACGCAAUAUAUAAACACAAAAGAACUCAGAAUAUGUGUUGGGACUUGGAAUGUUGGAGGAAAACUACCUCCUGAAGAUCUAGAUAUUGAUGGCUGGAUUGAUACCAAUGAGCCAGCUGAUAUCUAUGUCCUUGGUUUCCAGGAGAUUGUACCAUUGAAUGCUGGAAAUAUAUUUGGUGCUGAAGACAGUCGCCCAGUUGCAAGGUGGGAAGAUAUUAUCCGCGAAACACUGAAUAGGGUUAGACCUACUACAACUAAGAUCAAAUGCUUUAGUGAUCCACCAUCCCCAUCAAAGUUUAAGCCAUUUGACGACAUCCCAAAUUUAGAGGAGGAGAUUCUGCAGGAAAGUGAUAGUGACGUUGGUGAGGAGGUGCAUCCAUGUGAUGAAGAAUUCUAUGGCAAGGAAAAUGGUGACGAACUAGUCAGUGACACAAAUCUAAGCUUGAAGAUCCCAAUUUCAGAACUUUCUGAAAAUACCAAAUCAGGGAUACCUGUAGAACAGGAUUUACUGAGGCAAUAUUCUUCUCCAAAGAGAUUGGAUCGGUUAAAUUUCGUACGGACUGAAGACAGCACAGAGAAUGACGAGGCUGUCUUGCAACCGGACAGAAGAUUAACUAAAAUGCUUAGUGGGUCAGAAAGGAUUGGUUUGUGUUGGCCUGAACCUCCACUACACUUACUACCCCAUAUUGUUUUAGAGAGACCUAACUCAUUUAAGUCAAUAAAAUCGUUUAAAACAUCCAAGUCCUUUGGGAAAUAUAGUUCUUUUAAGUCAACCAUGAAUGAAAUGCCAUCAGGGGCUGCUUUGCUUGGAGAAAUUGAUCUCGAGUCUCUCCUAAAACGAAAGAGAAGAUCGUCAUAUGUUAGAAUAGUAAGUAAGCAAAUGGUUGGUAUUUUCCUCACAAUAUGGGUUCGUAAGAGUUUGCGAAGGCACAUUCAGAAUGUAAAUGUAUCUACUGUUGGUGUUGGUGUAAUGGGCUACAUCGGCAACAAGGGAUCCAUAUCUGUCAGCAUGUCCAUAUAUCAGACCCUAUUUUGCUUUAUAUGCACUCACCUGACUUCAGGUGAAAAGGAGGGGGAUGAACUUAAAAGAAAUGCUGAUGUGAGCGAAAUACAUAGAAGAACUUCAUUCCAUCCACUUAAUGGUAUUGGGUUUCCUAAAGUGAUCCACGACCAUGAGCGGAUAAUCUGGCUGGGUGAUUUAAAUUACCGCAUCAACUUGUCUUACGAGAAGACAAGAGAGCUUAUCUCGAGAAAAGAAUGGUCUAGGUUGGCUGAGAGUGAUCAGUUAUUGCGGGAGCUUAAGAAGGGUCGUACAUUUGAUGGAUGGACUGAGGGAAACCUAAAUUUUCCACCAACCUAUAAAUACGAGAAUAAUUCAGAAAAGUAUUGUGGCGAAGAUCCAAAAGUUGGAAGACGUACUCCAGCAUGGUGUGACCGUAUACUUUCAUAUGGCAAAGGAUUGAAAUUGUGCAGAUAUAGGAGGACUGAAAUUAACUUUUCUGAUCAUAGACCAGUGACAGCCACCUAUGUGGCCGAGGUCGAGGUUUUCUGUCCCCGUAAGCUACAGCGAGCUCUGACAUUUACAGAUGCAGAGAUCGAAAAACAAGUAGCAAUCGAUGUAUACUGAUUUUUUAUCAGUUGCUUAGAUUGAGAGAAUUUACUUGAUCAUUCAUGUGCCUCAAAAAAGAUAAUUUGGUGUAGCUUCCCGGUGCAACGAACAUUGCAAGACUGGAAGUAUUUUCCAAAGGGUAAGAUCUAUUUCUUGAUUUGAGCAAUGAAGAUGCGAAGAUUGCAUUUAUAUUCAUGGAUAUGUAAGCUUUUGAAGGACUUGGAAUCCAACGCCAAGAAUGGUGCAGGUGGAAGAGCAUCAAGCCUUCCAACACAAUUCUUAUAAACCUUCAUAGGAUUAGGCUCAAAGACUUCAAACUCAGGAAAACGAAACCAACCAGCAAAAGCUCGAGCACACCUCUUCCCCAUGACUUUCACGAAGACGCAACAAUUUAGGUCCAAUUCUUUCUUACUUAUAUUGAAGUAGUAAUUGUAAAGUUCCACUUGACAUUUUGCACUCUUCAUCAGAUCCAAACAAGGUCGUAGAUUUAUUCCUCUAUCUUCGUCUACCCAUCUAUCCCAUAUAGGUGAAUUGUAGUCGUCGUCUGCCGUUGAAGGUUGAGCUAAGAAUGCCAAGUUUAUUGCCAAUAAGAGAAUCACCAUUGCUCCCA